rnacentral:sRNA from 1 species
ACUUUUAUUUUGUUUUUGGCUAAGAUCAAGUGUA